rnacentral:rRNA from 1 species
UGAGACUCUGUGCGCGUGCAUAUCAAUAAGCGGAGGAAAAGAAACUAACAAGGAUUCCCUUAAUAACGGCGAGUGAAGCGGGAAGAGCUCAAAUUUGAAAUCUUCAAGGUUCUACCUUGACGAAUUGUAGUUUAUAGAAGUGUUUUCUGUUAGUGGAGUGGCAAAAGUUCUUUGGAAUAGGACAUCAUAGAGGGUGAGAAUCCCGUAUUUGGUCAUUCCUCCUAGCGUUGUGAUACACUUUCAACGAGUCGGAUUGUUUGGGAAUGCAGUCCAAAAUGGGUGGUAAAUUUCAUCUAAAGCUAAAUAUUGGCGAGAGACCGAUAGCGAACAAGUACCGUGAGGGAAAGAUGAAAAGAACUUUGAAAAGAGAGUUAAACAGUACGUGAAAUUGUCAAAAGGGAAGCGUUUGACACCAGUGUUGUUUAGUUGAAAAUCAAUUCAAUAAUUUUUGAUUUUAAGUAGUAUUGACUUCAUCAGCUUGCUGCUUUCUUUUCCGAAAUUAUUGAAUGCACUUUUCAGUUAACAAGUCAACAUCAAUUUCUUUUGUUGUAAAAGGGUAAGAGGAAGGUGGCUUGCGCUUCGGCUCAAGUGUUUAUAGCCUUUUAUCUCCGCAAUCGGAGAGAUUGAGGUCUGCAGCGUAGAUCCUUCGGGGUUAGAUACAUUGGUGCUAAGCUAUAGCCUUGUAUAGACAACUUGUUGACUAUGCUCAGUCAUGUAACUUACUCGCUGACGCUAUUUUACCUACGCUUAGGAUGUUGACAGCAGUAUAGACUGU